rnacentral:rRNA from 1 species
AGUGAACGCUGGCGGUAGGCCUAACACAUGCAAGUCGAACGGCAGCACAGUAAGAGCUUGCUCUUACGGGUGGCGAGUGGCGGACGGGUGAGGAAUACAUCCGAAUCUACUUUUUCGUGGGGGAUAACGUAGGGAAACUUACGCUAAUACCGCAUACGACCUACGGGUGAAAGCAGGGGAUCUUCGGACCUUGCGCGAUUAAAUGAGCCGAUGUCGGAUUAGCUAGUUGGCGGGGUAAAGGCCCACCAAGGCGACGAUCCGUAGCUGGUCUGAGAGGAUGAUCAGCCACACUGGAACUGAGACACGGUCCAGACUCCUACGGGAGGCAGCAGUGGGGAAUAUUGGACAAAGGGCGCAAGCCUGAUCCAGCCAUACCGCGUGGGUGAAGAAGGCCUUCGGGUUGUAAAGCCCUUUUGUUGGGAAAGAAAAGCAGCAGGUUAAUACCCCGCUGUUCUGACGGUACCCAAAGAAUAAGCACCGGCUAACUUCGUG